rnacentral:rRNA from 1 species
GACGAAGGAUGCAAGCGUUAUCCGGAUUCAUUGGGUUUAAAGGGAGCGUAGGUGGCCUUAUAAGUCAGCGGUGAAAUCUCUGGGCUUAACCCAGAAAUUGCCAUUGAUACUGUAGGGCUUGAGUACAGUUGCUGUGGGCGGAAUAUGACAUGUAGUGGUGAAAUACAUAGAGAUGUCAUAGAACACCGAUUGCGAAGGCAGCUCACAAAACUGUAACUGACACUGAGGCUCGAAAGUGCGGGGAUCAAACAGGG